UACAGAGGUGGCAAGCGUUGUUCGGAAUUACUGGGCGUAAAGGGCGCGUAGGCGGUCUUGCAAGUCCUGUGUGAAAUCCCCGGGCUCAACCCGGGAACUGCGUCCGAUACUGGAAGGCUUGAAUCCGGGAGAGGGAUGCGGAAUUCCAGGUGUAGCGGUGAAAUGCGUAGAUAUCUGGAGGAACACCGGUGGCGAAGGCGGCAUCCUGGACCGGCAUUGACGCUGAGGCGCGAAAGCCAGGGGAGCAAACGGG
rnacentral:rRNA from 1 species